rnacentral:pre_miRNA from 1 species
UUAAUACUCUCUCCGUUCCAAAUUACUUGUCGCAGGUAUGGAUGUAUCUAGAUGUAUUUUAGUUCUAGAUACAUCCAUUUCUGCAGCAAGUAAUUUGGAACGGAGGGAGUAGUUA